rnacentral:rRNA from 1 species
UGGGGAUGACGUCAAGUCCUCAUGGCCCUUAUAGGUGGGCUACACACGUCAUACAAUGGCUGGUACAAAGGGUUGCCAACCCGCGAGGGGGAGCCAAUCCCAUAAAGCCAGUCGUAGUCCGGAUCGUAGUCUGCAACUCGACUACGUGAAGUCGGAAUCGCUAGUAAUCGUGGAUCAGAAUGUCACGGUGAAUACGUUCCCGGGUCUU